CAAUCAUAAAAGGUGGCUCUUAGCUACCACUUACAGAUGGACCCGCGGCGCAUUAGCUAGUUGGUGAGGUAACGGCUCACCAAGGCGACGAUGCGUAGCCGACCUGAGAGGGUGAUCGGCCACACUGGGACUGAGACACGGCCCAGACUCCUACGGGAGGCAGCAGUAGGGAAUCUUCCGCAAUGGACGAAAGUCUGACGGAGCAACGCCGCGUGAGUGAUGAAGGUUUUCGGAUCGUAAAACUCUGUUGUUAGGGAAGAACAAGUACCGUUCGAAUAGGGCGGCACCUUGACGGACCUAACCAGAAAGCCACGCA
rnacentral:rRNA from 1 species